GAAGUUCAAAGUGCCAGCAUCAAGGAAGGCCACUCAGACCUGAAGCCUGAUCGUCUCCCAGCCUCAAAAGCUAGACUGAGCAACUUCAACAGUCAAACAAAAUCACGGAAAAUUAAAGGCUCAAAAGUCUUGCUGAAUUCCAGGAGGAAAAUGUUUCAUUUUACACAAUAACCAUCUGAAGAUCUGCUUUUCCCUGAGGAACACUUCCAAACUAUGUGAAAUAAAUCAGGUCUCCCCAGUGCUGUGUCAGAUUUGAGGAAGAGAAUGGACCACACAAAAAUAAGAAAAGAGAACUGCAGAUGGAAGGGAUCCUUGGUGACAUUUUCCCCAUUAGAGGCCAGGCGAUAUAAAGGCCUCUGUUCAGGAAACAAGAGAGGGAGGAGGCGACUCCCCAAAAAGGAAGACAGCAGCUCAGAGGAAGGCGGGCUGAGACCUGGUCCACUCACCUCUGGCCAUUUGUGACUUACUAAAAUAACCUCUACUCCACUAACAGGCUGGAACCACUGGAAACACUUUGGCCCAGCAUGUCAUGCCAUGCUCUCUCUGCCAUCUGCACUUUAGGUACUGCUAUGAUAAAGGUCUUUGCUAACUUAAUCUACUAUGGACAUGUAAUGCUGGUGGCCUCAACAAAAUGUUUUUCUUGGAAAAAAUAAAGUAAAUCUUUUAUAAUAUUUUUAUCCUAAGAUUUUAUGCUAAGAUA